CAGGCACACACAAAAUUUCUGCCUUUCUCAUCCUAAACAGCUGAAUCAUUCACAUAUUCAACAGCCCAGAAGAAUUCUGGGCUGUCAGUGCGGGCUCUGCUUUUUGAGAGCUUGGAAUUCAAAAUCCUCCUUAAGAGAGCAAGGAAGAAUUACAGGAGAUUAACGGGAUUCCCAAAGGGCGCUGACUUAAACCGGAGCAGCGUCACCGUUAAUCAAACAGGAGGCCCUGGCUAUCAAUCAAUCUCCGGAGAAGGAAAAAUACUAUGCUGAGAAAAUACGUUCGUUCAUUAUUCAAGUAUUUACUAAAGGUGUACUCGGCGCAAGGCCCCUGGCGGGAGGCCAACAAGCACACCAGCUCUGGAUCCGGCGCCUGGCAGCCCCCUCCCCCGCGGGGCCCACCAGCAGGCAGGACGCCCCCAGCAGCGCGUGCCAGGCGCCAGGGGCGGCCCCUGCACUGACCCCUCCGGUUCCUCCCGGGCGCGCCUCACCCGGACCGGUCUCCGGAGCGAUACGGGCUUCAACGUGGCGAAAUGCACCAAUACGACUCGCCACGCACGGAGAAGGGGGCCCCACGCGCGCCCCGGGCUACCCCGCCCCCGGCCCUCAGGGAGCUGCUGACCUGCUAGAAACUCCAGACACGUGUAAGAAAAGAAGAAAAAGGCUUCGGGGAGUUUCUGAGAAGUCAGAGCAGGAAAGGAGCCUGUAGCCUGAACAAGGCAGAGCCAACAGUACUGCUGGCUUUUCCCUGUGAGCAGAUGGAGGUGGACACCUGGACGCUCAGACUGAAUCAACACACACCCCGAAAUAUGAUCCAUCAAGACAGGCCUGAAGCUACUGGAGAACCCCAACACUAAGAAAGCCAGAGUCAGAAAAGAACAGAAUCGAUAUGGAGAAAGGGUGUAGCCAUCUGCGUGUGUUCACAGAAGGAGAGAAAGCACCAGGCAAAGAUCCAGUAUGGAAAGUUACAGGACAUCACUGCUGCUUCACUGAAGCAAAGCAAGAAGGCUCACCCACAUUCAAGGGGAGGGAAAUGAGACACCAUUUCCUGAUGGGAGGGCCUCCGAGGAUUUGCAGAUGUUUUCACAGCACAACAGCUAGGUUAGAGGGAGUCCGUGCUCACCCUGGUCCACUCUGGUUGCAUUGACAAAGUUGGGAAGCUGGAGCCCCUACGCUGGGGUUGGGGGACAGCCCUCAGCUCACAUGGCCCUGCAUGGUAUGGCCCAAGGGUACCUGCCCAGGUCUGCAGUGGCCUCCUCUGAUGACAUCUCAGCCUUGCUUCUGCCUGAAAUGCUAAGCGUGGCUCAGAGUCAUCGGACAAGGUCAAACCAUCUAAAGCAGAGUGUUCUACUUCAGAAGGCAGGGAAGAAGGAAGUCCAUUUCAGGAGGCUCUUCACCCAAAAUCGUUAAAGGAAUGCAUUAAUGAAAAUAAAUCUUCCAUCUGUGUGGAUGAGGUUGUGCAAAUCUAAGGAUAGAAUUUAAUUGUUCUAUUUACAGUGAUUCUUUUCAUUUUUCUCAUAGACUAACAAAACCCAAGAACAUUUGAAUGGCACAUUUCAGAGAAAUAAUUAAACAGCUUUUGUUAAUCUCUAAAAAACUUUUUGAAACAACAUCA